AACGAACGCUGGCGGCAUGCCUAACACAUGCAAGUCGAACGCGUGUAGCAAUACACGAGUGGCGGACGGGUGAGUAACGCGUGGGAACCUGCCCAGUGGUAGGGAACAACUGCGGGAAACUGCAGCUAAUACCCUAUACGCCCUUUGGGGAAAGGAUUCAUCGCCAUUGGAGGGGCCCGCGUCGGAUUAGCUAGUUGGCGGGGUAAGUGGCCCACCAAGGCAACGAUCCGUAGCUGGUCNGAGAGGAUGAUCAGCCACACUGGGACUGAGAUACGGCCCAGACUCCUACGGGAGGCAGCAGUGGGGAAUAUUGGACAAUGGGGGAAACCCUGAUCCAGCAAUGCCGCGUGAGUGAAGAAGGCCUC
rnacentral:rRNA from 1 species